rnacentral:rRNA from 1 species
GUAGGUGGCAAGCGUUGUCCGGAAUUAUUGGGCGUAAAUCGCGCGCAGGCGGUUUUUUAAGUCUGAUGUGAAAGCCCACGGCUCAACCGUGGAGGGUCAUUGGAAACUGGAGAACUUGAGUACAGAAGAGGAAAGCGGAAUUCCACGUGUAGCGGUGAAAUGCGUAGAGAUGUGGAGGAACACCAGUGGCGAAGGCGGCUUUCUGGUCUGUAACUGACGCUGAGGCGCGAAAGCGUGGGGAGCAAACAGGGAUUAGAUACCCUGGUAGUCCACGCCGUAAACGAUGAGUGCUAAGUGUUUGGGGGGUUUCCCGCCCCCUUAGUGCUGCAGCUAACGCAUUAAGCACUCCGCCUGGGGAGUACGGCCGCAAGGCUG